rnacentral:rRNA from 1 species
AUACGGAGGGUGCAAGCGUCACUCGGAAUCACUGGGCGUAAAGCGCGCGCAGGCGGCUAUUUAAGUUGGAUGUGAAAGCCUAUGGCUCAACCAUAGAACUGCAUCCAAAACUAUUUAGCUAGAGUGUGGGAGAGGAAGAUGGAAUUAGUUGUGUAGGGGUAAAAUCCGUAGAGAUAACUAGGAAUACCAAAAGCGAAGGCAAUCUUCUGGAACACUACUGACGCUGAGGCGCGAAAGCGUGGGGAGCAAACAGGAUUAGAAACCCUAGUAGUCC